rnacentral:snRNA from 1 species
GUGUUCACUUAGGCAGCACAUAUACUAAAAUUGGAACGGUACAGAGAAGUUAGCAUGGUCCCUGCGCAAGGAUGACAUGCAAAUCCGUGAAGCAUUUCACAUUAGA